rnacentral:rRNA from 1 species
ACGCUAGCUACAGGCUUAACACAUGCAAGUCGAGGGGAAACGGCAUUUAGUGCUUGCACUGAAUGGACGUCGACCGGCGCACGGGUGAGUAACGCGUAUCCAACCUUCCCAUUACUUUGGGAUAACCUGCCGAAAGGCAGACUAAUACCUCAUAGUCUUCGAUGACGGCAUCAGAUUUGAAGUAAAGAUUUAUCGGUAAUGGAUGGGGAUGCGUCUGAUUAGCUUGUUGGCGGGGUAACGGCCCACCAAGGCAACGAUCAGUAGGGGUUCUGAGAGGAAGGUCCCCCACAUUGGAACUGAGACACGGUCCAAACUCCUACGGGAGGCAGCAGUGAGGAAUAUUGGUCAAUGGACGUAAGUCUGAACCAGCCAAGUAGCGUGCAGGAUGACGGCCCUAUGGGUUGUAAACUGCUUUUGUAUGGGGAUAAAGUCAAUCACGUGUGAUUGUUUGCAGGUACCAUACGAAUAAGGACCGGCUAAUUCCGUGCCAGCAGCCGCGGUAAUACGGAAGGUUCGGGCGUUAUCCGGAUUUAUUGGGUUUAAAGGGAGCGUAGGCCGGAGAUUAAGUGUGUUGUGAAAUGUAGACGCUCAACGUCUGAAUUGCAGCGCAUACUGGUUUCCUUGAGUACGCACAACGUUGGCGGAAUUCGUCGUGUAGCGGUGAAAUGCUGGAUAUGACGAAGAACUCCGAUUGCGAAGGCAGCUGACGGGAGCGCAACUGACGCUGAAGCUCGAAGGUGCGGGUAUCGAACAGGAUUAGAUACCCUGGUAGUCCGCACAGUAAACGAUGGAUGCCCGCUGUUGGUACCUAGUAUCAGCGGCUAAGCGAAAGCAUUAAGCAUCCCACCUGGGGAGUACGCCGGCAACGGUGAAACUCAAAGGAAUUGACGGGGGCCCGCACAAGCGG